GCCAAUUAGUUUUAGGUUGGAAGC
rnacentral:siRNA from 1 species